rnacentral:rRNA from 1 species
GACUAACGCUGGCGGCGCGCCUAACACAUGCAAGUCGCACGAGAAACUUCGUAGCAAUACGGGGCGGUAAAGUGGCGAACGGGUGAGUAAUACAUGGGUGACCUGUCCUCAAGAUGGGAAUAACCUCACGAAAGCGGGGCUAAUACCCAAUGCCAUUUCGGUCUCGCGGGAUCGGGAUGAAAGAUAGCUGUUAUAGGCUGUUGCUUGAAGAGGGGCCCAUGCCCCANCAGCUAGUUGGUAGGGUAACGGCCUACCAAGGCGAUGACGGGUAGCUGGUCUGAGAGGACGACCAGCCACACUGGCAC